UUCAAUUCAGUUGAAUAUAAUAUCAACUUAUGCAAGACAUAAGAGAGAAGAAAGUUCAGUGCACUAUUAUAAAUUGUCAUGAUGCUUUGGAAGCUCUCAUGUAAUCCACAAGAUAUUUUAUGGAGUAUAAAGUUCAGCAUCUUGAAAGACACCCCCACUCAGCAAAGAAUCUUGAUGCUCCUCCGUUACAAGAACACUUGCCAGCCGGCAACAGCCUUGAAAGGAGGCCUGAAUUGACAGGUAAUAAAGACUGCCUUCUGAAGUUUUAAGGUGGGAAAGACACGCUCAUCAGCUGUAAGUGGGUGGGAGCAGAAACGACAAUAAGAGGAAGACAACAAUUAUUUUGGCUCGGAAAGGAGGUAGUAGAGUUUAGAGGAAGAAGACACUGAGUUUUAAUGUGGGAUGGGAUGCCUGAAUCGGAGAGCCCACCGUCGCUAUUCAGCUUUUGUUAGAAACCCCACUCAAUGAAUGAGUAGGAUCAGCAUGUCUACCACUUGUUCGAUAUAAUGUUAACACCAAG
rnacentral:lncRNA from 1 species